rnacentral:rRNA from 1 species
CCCCUAGAUGUUCUGGGCCGCACGCGCGCUACACUGAACAGUUCAACAAGUCUUAACCUUGGCCGAUAGGUCUGGGUAAUCUUUGAACGCUGUUCGUGAUUGGGAUAGACCUUUGCAAUUAUGGGUCUUCAACGAGGAAUUCCUAGUAAACGCAAGUCAUCAGCUUGCAUUGAUUACGUCCCUGCCCUUUGUACACACCGCCCGUCGCACCUACCGAUUGAAUGGUCCAGUGAAAUCUCGGGACGGCGGCUCGGUCGCUUGCGUCCGACUGCUGAAACUUGAUUAAACCAUAUCAUUUAGAGGAAGGUGAAGUCGUAACA